AUUGCCCCAGUAACGGCGAGUGAAGCGGCAACAGCUCAAAUUUGAAAUCUGGCCUUCGGGUCCGAGUUGUAAUUUGGAGAGGAUGCUUUUGGCGCGGCGCCGUCCGAGUUCCUUGGAACAGGACGCCAUAGAGGGUGAGAGCCCCGUACGGGCGGCCGCCUAGCCUUUGUAAAGCUCCUUCGACGAGUCGAGUAGUUUGGGAAUGCUGCUCAAAAUGGGAGGUAAAUUUCUUCUAAAGCUAAAUACCGGCCAGAGACCGAUAGCGCACAAGUAGAGUGAUCGAAAGAUGAAAAGCACUUUGAAAAGAGGGUUAAAAAGUACGUGAAAUUGUUGAAAGGGAAGCGCCUGUGACCAGACUUGCGACCCGUGGAUCAUCCGGUGUUCUUCACCGGUGCACUCCGCGGGCUGCAGGCCAGCAUCGGUUUUCCUAGGGGGAUAAAGGUCGCAGGAACGUAGCUCUUUCGGGAGUGUUAUAGCCUGUGGCGUCAUGCCUCUGGGGAGACCGAGGACCGCGCUUCGGCAAGGAUGCUGGCGUAAUGGUCACCGGCGACCCGUCUUGAAACACGGACCAAGGAGUCAAGCAUUGGGGCGAGUGUCUGGGUGCCAAACCCGCACGCGAAAUGAAAGUAAACGCAGGUGAGAGCUUCGGCGCAUCACCGACCGAUCCUGAUGUCUUCGGAUGGAUUUGAGUAAGAGCCUUACCGCUUGGACCCGAAAGAUGGUGAACUAUGCCUGUAUAGGGUGAAGCCAGAGGAAACUCUGGUGGAGGCUCGCAGCGGUUCUGACGUGCAAAUCGAUCGUCAAAUAUGGGCAUGGGGGCGAAAGACUAAUCGAACCAUCUAGUAGCUGGUUACCGCCGA
rnacentral:rRNA from 1 species